rnacentral:lncRNA from 1 species
UGCAUAAUUGAAAGUUUGGGGUGAAAUCAACAGGAUCUAUAAGAAAAUUAAAGAAUUUUGGGGUCAAAUUGCAGAUAUCUGAAGCUUAAAGGACCAUAUGUGUAAAAAUAAGGAACUUGAACAUUGUUGCUCGACCUUUCCCUAUGCAACUGAAUUGACGACGAAUACGGCAGCCAAAACGAUCUUGAGCUCGAAGCGACGGUUGAAUGAACUGACGGUUGCGAGGCUAAAUCCGGUGUGAAGAAGCAUACACAUGUGAGAGUAGAGAACGGAGACAGAGGAGCCGACUUGGACGGUGCUUGAUGGUGGCUUGGAGCUUUGAUUGGGGCUGCUUCACAGCAGUGAAUAGGAUGACGACCUGAGUUGAAAACAAUGGGGGAGCACAAGAAGACACGAUGGGGGAGCACGAGCAGACGACGACAAUGUCAGUAAUAGGCUUGUGGUGGUGCUUGUGCCACUUAGAUGAUUAAUUGGCUUUGUAAGAUGACGAGGACGAACGGUGGUCCAUGCUGUGGUGAUCUGAUUGUGGUUCGCCAUGAGAUUUUGGACAUUGGGGUUGGGGUGGUGGUGAGAUUUGAUCGGGCGAACGGAGGUGAGAUUUGAUUGGACGAACGGUGGCGCUUGCGGUGGUGAUAUUGAU